CACGUAGGCGGACUGGAAAGUUGGAGGUGAAAUCCCAGGGCUCAACCUUGGAACUGCCUUCAAAACUAUCAGUCUGGAGUUCGAGAGAGGUGAGUGGAAUUCCGAGUGUAGAGGUGAAAUUCGUAGGUAUUCGGAGGAACACCAGUGGCGAAGGCGGCUCACUGGCUCGAUACUGACGCUGAGGUGCGAAAGUGUGGGGAGCAAACA
rnacentral:rRNA from 1 species